CCUACAGCAAGUCAUACUCCAGAGUGUUAAAGUCUGUAAACUAAUAUUUUGGCCCCUAAACAUAUCUGUCUUUUUACAGUCUUUCCAGUAAAACACACUAAAAGAGCAAGACGCUUCCUAGUUCUUUAUUGGAGACUGUUAGCUAUCAGUAAAGCUAGUUCACACACACUAGUAAAGGCAGAAUAAAUACCAUUUAAACAAUAGCACCACCUAUCCUUUUGGGUGAUAACAUCUGUAACAAUUAACCAAGUCAAUGUGUACGUGAACAUGAUUAUCAUUUAAAGACUUCCGGGCAUCAAAUAGCCAUUUUUGUGCUACUCAAUUCUUACACUCAAUUUGCAUUUAUAUCAAAAAUUUAAAUUACAAACAUGAAAAAUGGUAUAAAAUUUUUGAACAGGAUUUGUCCUACAAUCUUCUUGACUCUGAUGAAUCCAAAAUACUCCAUGUAUUGUCACUGCUACACUGUAAAAAACUACUUCGUUAAUAUCUUCGAUGCCUUCAAUGUAUUAUUUUCUAAAUAAAAUGUGAUUAUA